rnacentral:rRNA from 1 species
ACAAGAAAUAACAAUACAGGGCUUUUUCGGUCUUGUAAUUGGAAUGAGUACAAUUUAAACCCCUUUAACGAGUAUCAAUUGGAGGGCAAGUCUGGUGCCAGCAGCCGCGGUAAUUCCAGCUCCAAUAGCGUAUAUUAAAGUUGUUGCAGUUAAAAAGCUCGUAGUUGGAUUUCGG